rnacentral:rRNA from 1 species
AUGAACGCUGGCGGCGUGCCUAAUACAUGCAAGUCGAGCGAACGGACGAGAAGCUUGCUUCUCUGAUGUUAGCGGCGGACGGGUGAGUAACACGUGGAUAACCUACCUAUAAGACUGGGAUAACUUCGGGAAACCGGAGCUAAUACCGGAUAAUAUUUUGAACCGCAUGGUUCAAAAGUGAAAGACGGUCUUGCUGUCACUUAUAGAUGGAUCCGCGCUGCAUUAGCUAGUUGGUAAGGUAACGGCUUACCAAGGCAACGAUGCAUAGCCGACCUGAGAGGGUGAUCGGCCACACUGGAACUGAGACACGGUCCAGACUCCUAAGGGAGGCAGCAGUAGGGAAUCUUCCGCAAUGGGCGAAAGCCUGACGGAGCAACGCCGCGUGAGUGAUGAAGGUCUUCGGAUCGUAAAACUCUGUUAUUAGGGAAGAACAUAUGUGUAAGUAACUGUGCACAUCUUGACGGUACCUAAUCAGAAAGCCACGGCUAACUACGUG